ACGAGUGGCGAACGGGUGAGUAAUAUAUCGGAACGUACCCAAGAGUGGGGGAUAACGUAGCGAAAGUUACGCUAAUACCGCAUACGAUCCAAGGAUGAAAGCAGGGGACCUUCGGGCCUUGUGCUCCUGGAGCGGCCGAUAUCUGAUUAGCUAGUUGGUGAGGUAAAGGCUCACCAAGGCGACGAUCAGUAGCUGGUCUGAGAGGACGACCAGCCACACUGGAACUGAGACACGGUCCAGACUCCUACGGGAGGCAGCAGUGGGGAAUUUUGGACAAUGGGCGCAAGCCUGAUCCAGCAAUGCCGCGUGAGUGAAGAAGGCCUUCGGGUUGUAAAGCUCUUUUGUCAGGGAAGAAACGGUCGUGGCUAAUAUCCAUGGCUAAUGACGGUACCUGAAGAAUAAGCACCGGCUAACUACGUGCCAGCAGCCGCGGUAAUACGUAGGGUGCAAGCGUUAAUCGGAAUUACUGGGCGUAAAGCGUGCGCAGGCGGUUUUGUAAGUCUGACGUGAAAUCCCCGGGCUCAACCUGGGAAUUGCGUUGGAGACUGCAAGGCUAGAAUCUGGCAGAGGGGGGUAGAAUUCCACGUGUAGCAGUGAAAUGCGUAGAGAUGUGGAGGAACACCGAUGGCGAAGGCAGCCCCCUGGGUCAAGAUUGACGCUCAUGCACGAAAGCGUGGGGAGCAAACAGGAUUA
rnacentral:rRNA from 1 species